GGCGGCGUGCUUAACACAUGCAAGUCGAGCGGAAAGGCCCUUCGGGGUACUCGAGCGGCGAACGGGUGAGUAACACGUGAGCAACCUGCCCUAGGCUUUGGGAUAACCCCGGGAAACCGGGGCUAAUACCGAAUAUGACUGCUGGCCGCAUGGCUGGUGGUGGAAAGUUUUUCGGCCUGGGAUGGGCUCGCGGCCUAUCAGCUUGUUGGUGGGGUGAUGGCCUACCAAGGCGACGACGGGUAGCCGGCCUGAGAGGGCGACCGGCCACACUGGGACUGAGACACGGCCCAGACUCCUACGGGAGGCAGCAGUGGGGAAUAUUGCACAAUGGGCGGAAGCCUGAUGCAGCGACGCCGCGUGAGGGAUGACGGCCUUCGGGUUGUAAACCUCUUUCAGCAGGGACGAAGCGAAAGUGACGGUACCUGCAGAAGAAGCGCCGGCCAACUACGUGCCAGCAGCCGCGGUAAGACGUAGGGCGCGAGCGUUGUCCGGAUUUAUUGGGCGUAAAGAGCUCGUAGGCGGCUUGUCGCGUCGACUGUGAAAACCCACAGCUCAACUGUGGGCCUGCAGUCGAUACGGGCAGGCUAGAGUUCGGUAGGGGAGACUGGAAUUCCUGGUGUAGCGGUGAAAUGCGCAGAUAUCAGGAGGAACACCGGUGGCGAAGGCGGGUCUCUGGGCCGAUACUGACGCUGAGGAGCGAAAGCGUGGGGAGCGAACAGGAUUAGAUACCCUGGUAGUCCACGCUGUAAACGUUGGGCGCUAGGUGUGGGGGGCCUCUCCGGUUCCCUGUGCCGCAGCUAACGCAUUAAGCGCCCCGCCUGGGGAGUACGGCCGC
rnacentral:rRNA from 1 species